UAAUUGAAGAGUUUGAUCAUGGCUCAGAUUGAACGCUGGCGGCAGGCCUAACACAUGCAAGUCGAGCGGUAACAGGGGAAGCUUGCUUCUCGCUGACGAGCGGCGGACGGGUGAGUAAUGUAUGGGGAUCUGCCCGAUAGAGGGGGAUAACCACUGGAAACGGUGGCUAAUACCGCAUAAUCUCUUAGGAGCAAAGCAGGGGAACUUCGGUCCUUGCGCUAUCGGAUGAACCCAUAUGGGAUUAGCUAGUAGGUGGGGUAAUGGCUCACCUAGGCGACGAUCCCUAGCUGGUCUGAGAGGAUGAUCAGCCACACUGGGACUGAGACACGGCCCAGACUCCUACGGGAGGCAGCAGUGGGGAAUAUUGCACAAUGGGCGCAAGC
rnacentral:rRNA from 1 species